AAAAGAAUGUAUCUAUGUAUGUGUGACUGGGUCACUUUGCUGUACGUUGAAAUUGACAGAACACUGUAAAUCAACUAUAAUGGAAAAAGCAAAAAUCUUAAAAAAGAAUCAAACCCUAUGUUGACUAUUAAAAUACCUGCUAUUUUUCUCAUCCUUUUGUCUUCUCUGUAAAUUCAAACAUUAACAGAGAAAAUAUUUCAAAUUUUUGAUAAAAAAACCAUGUAUUAAUAUAGAAGUAAAGUCAUAAUCUAAUACUAUGUAUGUAACCUUGGAUAAGUUAUAUAAUCUCUUUAUGUCUCAGUUCCUGCAUCUAUAAAGUGGGAAAUUAAUCAUAAUUAUCUCACAGACUAAUUUUGCAGAUUUUGAGAUUCUUAUUUAUUUCACAUAUUCACUUUUGUGAGUAAUAAUGAAAUAAAUUAUGUAAAGACAUUGGAUCUAUAUCUAAGGCAUACUAAGGACUUAAUGAAUUAUAAUAAUAAUAAAUACCUAGAGAAAGUUGUAAAGGAAAGCACCAGCCAAGGGUCAAAUAUUUUAUGUAUAAAUAUGUAUGUAUGAUUUUUAGAAAAGUUAUUAUUUAAAUUUUUGAUAAAUAAUAGAUAUGUAGCAAUAAUUGUUUAUAUAAUAAAAUGACCUUUUCUUUCAUAUAAGAAUAUACCUCUGACUGACUUUAAGCAAAGUUUGUUAACUUGGGGUAGAGGUCACAAACUGCUUUGAAAAUCUAUCAGGUACAUAAAACUAUUCCCAGUCAGAUACAUACACACACAACUUUGUUCAUACAGAUCUGGAAAUCAUAUAAGCUUUGACUCCCUUUUAUGAAAUUAACAGGUGCCUAAGAGCCCAUGACCUCAGGUCUAGGACUCUAGUUUUGAAGGCAAGAAAGUAAAUUAGAAAUCUUUUUCUGGUUUAAAUUUAAGAUCUAGGGAGUUCCCGUCGUGGCGCAGUGGUUAACGAAUCCGACUAGGAACCAUGAGGUUGCGGGUUCGGUCCCUGCCCUUGCUCAGUGGGUUAAUGAUCUGGCGUUGCCAUGAGCUAUGGUGUAGGUUGCAGACGCGGGUCGGAUCCCGCGUUGCUGUGGCUCUGGCGUAGGCCGGUGGCUGCAGCUCCGAUUCAACCCCUAGCCUGGGAACCUCCAUAUGCCACUUGAGCAGCCCAAGAAAUAGCAACAACAACAACAACAAAAAGACAAAAAAUAAAAAAAUAAAAA
rnacentral:lncRNA from 1 species